rnacentral:rRNA from 1 species
CAGUAGCCACGGUAAAACGAAGGGUGCAAGCGUUAAUCGGAAUUACUGGGCGUAAAGCGUGCGUAGGCGGUUUGUUAAGUCUGUUGUGAAAUCCCCGGGCUCAACCUGGGAAUGGCAAUGGAUACUGGCAAGCUAGAGUGUGUCAGAGGAUGGUGGAAUUCCCGGUGUAGCGGUGAAAUGCGUAGAGAUCGGGAGGAACAUCAGUGGCGAAGGCGGCCAUCUGGGACAACACUGACGCUGAGGCACGAAAGCGUGGGGAGCAAACAGGAUUAGAUACCCCGGUAGUCCCUGUCUCUUAUAC